AAGGGAACUGAAGUUGUUAAAUUCCCUGGGUACAAUUACAAAACUAGCUGCUUUGAGGGUAGGGAGGUUGUAAACCAUUUCCUUUAAUUUGCUAAGCCCUUCUAUUUAUUUUACAAUGGAAAGGAGAUAGUCUUAGAGGCUGAAGAGAAGUCUUAGAUGCUGAAGAUAAGUACUUGUCAAGUCAGAGAAAGAAAAAAGAGGAAAAUAUUUGGAUUGGCAUUAUCCCAGGGCAUUGAUUAUGAUUUUGAGGGAAGAGAGAGUUGUAGCUAAGAUGAUUUCAUUGCAUUUUCAGUGAAGUACCUGUAGAAUGCAGUAACAAUACAGAUGGCAAAUGGUAACAAGGCAGGUAAGAAUAUAUUUACCAGUAUUUUUAUGCCUCCUUUGUCAAGUGAAUGAGUUCAGAGCCUUUUAUAUUAUUAUUCAUGUAAAAGCAGUCUGUGCAUGGGGAAUUAGGCAGAGAGGCAGUUUUUAUUUUCACAGUUGACUUUUUAGAAUUAUGAAAACUUAGCUUCUUAACUCCAUUUGCUUAUACAUCGUUUUGACACGUUCUGUAAUGAAAUUUUAUGGCAAAGUAAAGCAUUUAUACUGGAGAGUACCUGUUUCAGUUAAAUUAGAUAAAAGCACAUGAAUUGGACAUACUUCCAAUUCCAUUGCAGAUGAAUCUCACUUUUACAGAUUUUGGAAAAGAGCAUUAGGAGUGGCAUGUUAUAGGACUAAUAAAUAAAUUUAUGUAUUUCAUCUUGCUUUUUUGUUGCCAUUUUCCAGGGCCCAUUAAACUGCCUAAAACAUGAUAGGGAAAUGCUCAUAUAUAUUUGUUGAAGAAAUCAUAAGUAAAUAGAUGAAUACUAAUCAAAAACUACUUCAGGAAUUUGCAUCAUAAAUCAACUUGCAUAUAUAUUUUAAACAUUAAUAAAAUAUUAAUCUAUUAUUAAUUUUAUCUGACCUACCUCUGCCAGAAGGUGUAAGGAUAGUUUGGAAGUAAAUAUAUGUGUUGUAUGGUUAUUGUGAAAAAAAUUUACUCUUUAUAGUAAUCUAUAUACAAUUUCUCUGAGGUUUUUAAAGCAGCAAAUUUCCAUGCAAAAACAUAUAAAGCACUGAAUUUGGCAAUACUUCCUGUCUAUAGAUAAUUUCUAUUGCCAAAGGUUCAGCAUAUCUUUGGGCAAGAAACUGAGAGCUCUUAAAGCAAAUGCCAGGCCUUUCACAUUCAACCCUGUAGGCUUGAGGAUGAAAUGUGAGUAAUCUGAUCCACAAAUACAUUCGCAAAUGUGUAUAACAGCUGUAUGUCAGAGAAUACGACACAGUUUCCUGUUACUGUUCAGUGAUUUUCUGAGCUUCCACAAUGUGCCUGGUGCUAACUGGGGCACCUCCAUUAUUCUCCAUCUGUGCUCACCACCAAAUCUGCCAGCCAUCCUGCUGCUUGAGGCCUAAAGCCUGUGGCAGAGAGCCUGACAAGGUAAAUGCUGAAAUCUAGUAUUGCUUCCUGGGCAAGGCUACCUAGUUAAUCUAGUAAAGGGAUCACUUUGUCACCAGGAUUGAUUUAGACUAUGAAAUAAAGCUGUAGAUUAUCACGGCCACCAAGCAACUUUGUGUGGAGAAGAUACCAGGUUAGAAUUUUACAGAACAGUAUUUUCAGGGCCUGUAGGGAAAGAUGGGUUAAGAGCAAACCUACUGUAAAUGAAGGGAUUUUUAGGGGAGUGUGAGAGAACUUUAGUAAUCAAAUUUGUGAAUACCAUUUUUUAAUCUUGAGACUUCACUUGGUGAAAAUGAAUAUCUAUGACCUCUUGCAAUAUUUCAGUUAAAUCAAAUGCCUCAUAAUGACCCAUUACCAUUUAACGACAAUCCAUUAAAUGGCAAGCUCUGUGUGAUGAGCUCUAUGUGGAUUAUUAUUUCUAAUUCUUUCACUAACUACCCUAGUUAGAUGCUGUUACUAACAUGAAGAAACUGAGGCACAGAGAAAUUAUGUAAUUGUGCUGAAUUUGCGUGGCUAACAAGUAUCUAAGCUAGAGAUUUAAGCCUGGCUGCCUAUGACAGUUUAACUCAUGCUCUUGUACACCCUGCAAUAAGGGCUCAAGGCCCUCAUAGAUUUAGAAAUGACAUUUGUGGCUUCUGAAUUCUCAUCUUUGUCCUCUUUAAAACUGAUGGUGCGUGUGUGUGUUGGAGGAGAGACGCCCCCCAAAAAUUACUUAGCUUACCUCAGGGCAUUGUGAGUAGUCAUCACAGUAACACCAAUGCUGAAAUGGAGGCCUUCAGUUCAGAGUCAUUUUUAUUUGUCAUAUGUGUUUUCACAGAUUUUGUAAAAGAGCAUAUACUUUGUAAUAAAAAUUUGAGUUGGGGGAUGACUAUGGUGGGGGAGCAGUGAACUGGAAUAUUUUCCCUUUUCCAACUAGACCUGGACAUGCCACCCCAUCUCACAUAUUGGUAGAUCACACAGCUUCAACCAUGCGUAACUUGAACUUUUCAAGUUGAUGUGAAAAUAGAGAAAAAGGAAAAAGAGGAAGGGUAGGAAAAGAGAAAAUGGGAAACAGCUCCAGAAUUGAUUUAUAACUGCAAAAAGAACCAGAACAUGUGUUCUCCUUUACUCUCCUAGAGCAAUAAGAUUUAAAGCAAGUGGAACUAAACUUUUCCUUGAGGCUCUUUCCCUUUACUCUCUCCCUCCCCAGGCAAAUAUUCAUUUUUCUUGAAGGAGAUUGCUGAUCAGAAUCAAACUUUCCCUUCCUCUUUCUUGCCACAUGCCAUCCUGCCCUACAAUUCAACUUGCUUACUCCUACGCCUUCAAGAUUCCUCCACUUUCAGUCAAUCAAUCAUGAGAAGAGCCAUGCUGUAAUUUUGUGCUUUUCACAUUCUUAACUUACUUUACAAUGGGAUUUUGAGGUGCUUUUUGCUGGCUCAAGCUGAUAAGAAAAAAUAUAUAAGAGUGUUGCCUUCUUGAGCUUACAUCAAUGUUGUGAAUUAUAUAAUGAAACCUGUCUGGGUUGGAAUUCUAAAGCUAUUAUCAUUCUAGCACUGAGAUAGGAUACCGAAAGAGCCAUUUAGGAUCUCUCAGCCAUUUAUAGCUUGAGAAAUCAGAUUCUUUUCCUCUUAAAAAUGGUUUGUCGAGGGUAGUUAUUCAACUUACAACAUUGUCAAUAUUUUGCAUUACCAGCCCUUGGGGAACACACUGAAUCCUAAGGUAUGAUUUCUCCAUAAGGUUAUUUUGUCUCUUAAAUGAGGUCUCAAUAUCUAUUCUAGUGGUGUUUGAAAAGUUUUCACUUGGGAUCUUCUGUGACCUUGGUGUUGUGUGCCAUUUGUGCAUCAUUAAAAGGUUGUAAUGAAGUUCUGCGGCACACAGAUUGUAAAAGGUCAAGCAGAAAGUUGGGAGCCAAUGAGGUUGGGAAGAAAAAUUGUGCUUGCUGCAGAAGUUGAGGGAUUCAUUAUAUUGAUGCUAUGGGGUUUUCAGCAGAGUAAUAACUGGGUUAGCAAUAGAAUGUAAAUCUUCUCAGCCACUUAGUCUGAAUCUGCUUCUUCUUGAUUUGUGGGGAUAUAUUUUUAACAGAGUACAAGGAAAGUCAUUACACUCUGAGGAAAGCCUGUGGAAUUGGUAAAUGCACUGUUGAUGGGCCGGCCAAAAAGAAGAGUAGAACUAGAGGAAUAAAGCACACCAGGCUUCCUGGUUGCCACACUAAGAAAUAUUGUCAACCCAUGUGAUGUAAUUGUCUCAGAAGAACUUUGCAUAGGGAUUAUUUUAAUUCUUAAAAGGAUAUACAGUAUUGUUUUUAGCUUCAGUAGUCCAGAAGUGCAAGUAUAGUUAAUUAAAAUGCAUAAAAUAAUUAUCAACAGAAUUAAUUAAAAGGAUUUGAGAUAAAAAUAACAUCAAAAAGGCAGCAGCUUCAAGCCAAUUUAUUAAGGACCAGCAAGAUAAGCUAAUGAGGUCUUAGCUACUCUAAAAGAGGAAGAAACUUGUAAGUUACUGGUUCCCUAUUGAAUAUUCUCUGGAUGCAUUUUCUUAAAAUGGAAUUCUAGAAAUUAUGUGCAAAAGUGCAGCAGUUGAUUGCGUGUCUCACAAGCUUACAUAUGGAGUGAAAUAAUUUCUUCUUUAAACAAGCCCUGAACCAUCUGUUAACUUAAGUCUCUGAAUUUUACUUGAAAAUAAUUGGAAGUCUAGAUAUUCCACAAGACUAGCUCAAUGUGGUCCUUUAAUUUAUUCAUGGACUUUUAGGUGUGUGUGUAUAAGGAGGAAGGGAUAAGAAACCUUUUCAUCCAGAAGGAUAAAGAGUUAUUAAGAUAUAUCAUAAAAUUAAGACUAUUAUUAGGCAUUUCAGCUUGAUUCAGAUCCAGUGGCCUAAGUUGAGUGAUUAAAACGUUUUUAAGAAAUGAAAAUGACUUUUUAGAAAGGUUUUGAAGUUUGGGAGUAAAGGACAAUAGGAAAUUACACAAAAUUUAUUGAAAAGCUUGUUUUGUGAUUAUAAAGUGUUAAGGUAUCAGAGUCUAUAAUUUAAGGUAGGAAAACCAUCUAUAGUUCUGUUUUCAAUAGGUGGCACUCUAUUUUGUAUAGAAACUGACUUAUUUUCUUUAUCAGCAUUUUAUAGAUGACUUCCUUGGGCCAAGUGGAGUUUGACUAUCUUUUGCUAUUGUUCACAUUGUAGCCAUUCCAACAUUUAAAAAUUUUUUCUGUCUAAAACUGACUAAAUAUCAACUCAUAAGACAGUAUAAUGCAAUGGCUUGAAAGUAUUCCUUGAAAGAAAAACAAUAAUUGGAUGAACUGGAAUGCUAUAUCAUAAUCAUAUAGAACUAGAAUGACCUCUAUGUGUUAUAUAUAUCAUUCACUAAUAUAUUCUCAUUGUUCACAGGAGAUAAUUAGUUUUCUAUCUAUAUUUGUCCUCCAAGAUACAAAUAUUAUUGAAAUCAUUACCUUUGUGAUAAAGAAACACAGUCAUUUAUUAAUAUGUGGUUUCUUUAUUACUUUAGAACUGCCUUUUCUAUUAAAAUGUGUAUACCCAAAAUACUUUGGUUACUAAUUUAACAAUGAUUUAAGUGUGAUAAUUAUGUGUAAUAAAUAUUAUAUUUAUUAUGUGCUCUCUUAAGUAUGACUUAUUCAAUACUAAUAAUAGCACCCAGAGUCUUAUCUUGUCAAUUGUAUGUCUCAUUUAUUUAUUCAUUCAUUUAGUCAGCCAACAAAAAGUUUUGUAGCUAGUGCUUUAUACCAAGCUGUAGUAAGUUUCCCCUCAGAGAAGAGUCUAUUAUCUAGUAGAGAACCAAAUAUAUAGGAAAAUAAUUGCAAUCCAACAUGGUAGUAUAUAUAGUGGAAGCAUACAGUGUAUGUAUAUCAAGUAGAAUCACUGUCAAAGGAUACUUUACUACAUAUAGGAAAUCAAGGUGAUUGUGAGUAAUAAGUGAGAUAAGGGUUUGAUAUUAUGAAAACAUUCAUGGCUAUUAGAGUUAAUUGAUUCACUAUCUACCAAAUAUUUAUUGAGGAUUUGCUGUGUGUCAUUUACUGUAUAAGAUAUUUCGGAUAUAAAAGUAAAAAAGAAAAGAUCCUUGUCCUCAAAGAGCAUAAUUCCAAGUAAAGGAGACAAUAGAAGAGUAGAGGAAAUAAAAUAAUUACAUUCUAUAAUGAUAAAUGCUUAAAUAAAACUAUGCAUCAUACUUUUAGCAACAUAGAGAGGAGGGAAUAAUUAGCUUCCUAAGUGGAUUGGGAAAAUUUCACUGAAGAGAGAAAGCAGCUUUGAUAGUUGAAUUAGAGUUUGUUGGACAGGGUCAGUUGAUCCAAGGGGCAGGAAUAAAAAACAUGCCACUAUGGUGGUCUGAAAAGGCAUGGCAAGGGAGUCUAACCAUCACACUAUGAAUUACAGGGUGAUGUCUCAGGAUGAGUUAAGAGAUAGGUAAGGUUAAUCCUACCAUGAAAUUUCUUAAAAUAGGAGCAUGCAAAUUCUUCUGAAAGGCAUAGUCCUUUAAUUUUAAUUUAUAAUGUUGCAAUCUUAAAAUGGCAUGACAAAGUAUAGGAAGAUUUUAAUACAGUUUACCCUUGAACAAUGUGAGUUUGAACUGCAUAGGUCCACUUACAUGCUAGAUUUUUUUUCCAGUAGUAAACACUAGAAUAGUAUACAAUCCAUGCUUGAUUGAAUCUAUGGAUUCAGAGGAACUGUGAGCACAGAGGGUUGACUAUAAGCUACGCACAGAUUUUCAGCAACAGAAAAUGUGCAGAGGAUCCAGAGUGUUGGCACCGCUAACCCACCUGUUCAAAAAUCAACUGUAUAUCGGAGUUUCCAUCGUGGCGCAGUGGUUAACGAAUCUGACUAGGAACCAUGAGGUUGCGGGUUCAGUCCCUGCCCUUGCUCAGUGUGUUGACGAUCCGGCGUUGCCGUGAGCUGUGGUGCAGGUUGCAGAUGAGGCUCGGAUCACGCGUUGCUGUGGCUCUGGUGUAGGCUGGUGGCUGCGGCUCCAAUUGGACCCCUGGCCUGGGAAUCUCCAUGUGCCACGGGAGCGGCCCAAGAAAUAGCAAAAAG
rnacentral:lncRNA from 1 species